UACGGGGGGAGCAAGCGUUGUUCGGAUUUACUGGGCGUAAAGGGCGCGUAGGCGGCCUCCGCAAGUCAAUUGUGAAGUCUCCGGGCUUAACUCGGAAAGGUCAACUGAUACUGCGGGGCUAGAGUGCGGAAGGGGCAACUGGAAUUCUUGGUGUAGCGGUGAAAUGCGUAGAUAUCAAGAGGAACACCUGCGGCGAAGGCGGGUUGCUGGGCCGACACUGACGCUGAGGCGCGAAAGCUAGGGGAGCGAACGGG
rnacentral:rRNA from 1 species